rnacentral:rRNA from 1 species
GACGAACGCUGGCGGCGUGCUUAACACAUGCAAGUCGAACGCUGAAGCUCAGCUUUUGUUGGGUGGAUGAGUGGCGAACGGGUGAGUAACACGUGAGUAACCUGCCUCCUUCUUUGGGAUAACGCCCGGAAACGGGUGCUAAUACUGGAUAUUCACUGGUCUUCGCAUGGGGGUUGGUGGAAAGGGUUUUUCUGGUGGGGGAUGGGCUCGCGGCCUAUCAGCUUGUUGGUGGGGUGAUGGCCUACCAAGGCUUUGACGGGUAGCCGGCCUGAGAGGGUGAACGGUAACAUUGGGACUGAGAUGCGGCCCAGACUACGACGGGAGGCAGAAGUGGCGAAUAUUGCAGAAUGGGUGCAAGCCUGAUGCAGCGACGGCGCGGGAGGGAUGGGGGCCUUCGGGUUGUGAACCUCUUUCGCUCAUGGUCAAGCAGCAACAAUGGUUGUGGUGAGGGUAGUGGGUAAAGAAGCGCCGGCUAACUACGUG